UUAAGUCCCGCAACGAGCGCAACCCUUGUUCCAUGUUGCCAGCGUGUUAUGCCGGGGACUCAUGGGAGACUGCCGGGGUCAACUCGGAGGAAGGUGGGGAUGACGUCAAGUCAUCAUGCCCCUUAUGUCCAGGGCUUCACACAUGCUACAAUGGCUCAUACAGAGGGCUGCGAGACCGUGAGGUGGAGCGAAUCCCUUAAAGUGAGUCUCAGUUCGGAUCGGGGUCUGCAACUCGACCCCGUGAAGUUGGAGUCGCUAGUAAUCGCAGAUCAGCAACGCUGC
rnacentral:rRNA from 1 species